CGCCAGACCGUACACGCAGCGACUGAACAGGGCAGUCUCCGGCGCUCGGUCCAGUUCGCCUUCCGCCGUCGCUCGGCAACGUACGUAACCGCGUGCGUGUCUGUCCGUUUGGCGUCGCGACGCACGUCUAUUUCGCGUCAUUGCGUCGCGUACUCGCAGCUGCGUCGACUGCAUUCGCACUACCGGCUGCGCGAGCUGAGCCACGCGGGUGAUGCAUCGUUCGCGCAAUAACCUCCGAGUCGAACCGUGAACCCGGAGUUCAUGAUCGAUGGAAGGAUAACGGGACACACUCGCUCUUGACGAGCGUCUCGCGAACGUUGGAUCGUCGACCGGGGCUAACGAGACGUUGGAGAGUCACGAGGCAAGAAGAAGAGAUCGGUGGAGGCUUGUCCCGAAUCGGUGAAAAGUCGCCGAAUUGGAUCAGCUUGACACAGAAAGUGGCGUAAGUUCCUUUGGGAGGACGAAGAGAGAGAGAAAGAGAGAGAAGGAGGAAGAGAAGAGGAAGACAGAGAUAGGCAGAGCAGGAGGGAAGAAGAGCCUGCAGAAAGAGAAAGGGAGGAACUGCAGGCAGCGCCAGCGGGGUGGGGGUGGCGGCGGCGGCGACGGAGGGCGGGGAAGACGGGGUGAACCGGAACCGGAAAUGGCUGCGAGGUGGCUGCUGCUGCUGCUGGCGCUCCUCGCCGCCCACGCCACGGCUCUUCCUGAUUUCAUUAGGAUAGGCGGGCUGUUUCAUCCGUCGGACGACAAGCAGGAAGUGGCCUUUCGCUAUGCCGCGGAGAAAAUCAACGCCAACCGGGACAUCCUGCCCAAGUCUCGACUCAGCGCUCAGGUCGAGGUGAUACAGCCGCAGGAUAGCUUCCACGCCUCGAAACGAGUAUGCCACUUGCUGCGCGGCGGUGUAGCAGCGAUUUUUGGACCGCAGAGCGCGCACACGGCGUCUCACGUGCAGAGCAUUUGCGACACCAUGGAAAUUCCGCACUUGGAGACACGCUGGGACUACCGAAUCCGGCGGCAGAGCUGCCUCGUCAACCUCUAUCCGCAUCCGACCACUCUGUCCAAGGCGUACGUCGAUCUGGUGAAGGCCUGGGGGUGGAAGAGUUUCACCAUUAUCUACGAGAACAACGAGGGGCUCGUGCGAUUGCAGGAACUUCUGAAAGCGCACGGACCCAGCGAAUUUCCCAUUACGGUCAGACAGCUGAGCGAGGGAUCGGAGUAUCGGCCGAUGUUGAAACAGAUCAAGAACUCCGCGGAGUCGCACAUCGUGCUGGACUGUUCCACCGAGAGGAUCUACGACGUGUUGAAGCAGGCGCAGCAGAUCGGGAUGAUGAGUGAUUAUCACAGCUACCUUAUCACCUCUCUGGACCUGCACACCGUCGACUUGGAAGAGUUCAGACACGGCGGGACCAAUAUCACUGCCUUUCGACUAGUGGACCCGGAGAAGCCGGAAAUCCAGAAGGUAAUUCAAGACUGGAUCUACGGUGAAAAGCGCUAUAAUCGCGAGCUUGAUAUGGGACAGAACAGCAACAAGAACAACCUGACCACCAUAAAGACUGAAACAUCCCUGCUAUACGAUGCCGUUUAUCUCUUCGCCAAGGCGUUGCACGAUCUGGACACGUCUCAGCAAAUCGAUAUCAAGCCGUUAUCCUGCGAAUCAACAGACACCUGGCCUCACGGAUAUUCGCUCAUUAACUACAUGAAGAUCGUCGAGAUGACGGGACUUACAGGUAUUAUCAAGUUCGAUCACCAGGGCUUUCGUUCAGACUUCAUGUUAGACAUCAUUGAGCUAAAUAGCAAAGAAGGCUUGAAGAAAAUCGGUACUUGGAAUAGUACCAAGGGCAUCAACUUCACAAGAAGCUACGGCGACGUUUACACUCAAAUAGUUGAAAACUUGCAGAAUAAGACUUUCAUCGUGACGACCAUAUUGAGCGCGCCGUACUGCAUGCGGAAGGACUCGAGCGAGAAGCUCACCGGAAACGCGCAAUUCGAAGGCUACAGCGUCGACUUGAUUUACGAGAUAUCGCGGCUGCUUGGAUUCAAUUAUACGUUCCGGCUUGUGCCGGACGGACGUUACGGCUCGUACAACAAGCAGACGAAGGAAUGGGACGGGAUGAUGAAGGAGCUGCUCGAUCAGAAGGCCGAUCUCGCGAUCGCCGAUCUCACUAUCACGUAUGACCGAGAACAGGUUGUCGACUUCACGAUGCCGUUCAUGCCUUUAGGGAUCAGCAUACUUUACCGCAAGCCCAUAAAGCAACCGCCGAAUUUGUUCUCGUUCCUCAGCCCUCUCAGCCUCGACGUAUGGAUCUACAUGGCGACGGCUUAUCUCGGGGUCUCCGUGCUCCUCUUUAUACUAGCCAGGUUCAGCCCCUACGAGUGGGAGAACCCCCAUCCAUGCAACGGGCAGUCCGAGGUCCUCGAGAACGAGUUCACCCUGCUGAACUCGCUCUGGUUCACCAUAGGCUCGCUCAUGCAGCAAGGCUCCGAUAUAGCGCCGAAGGCCGUGUCGACGCGCAUGGUCGCGGGUAUGUGGUGGUUCUUCACAUUGAUCAUGAUCUCCUCGUACACGGCUAAUCUGGCGGCUUUCCUCACCGUCGAGAGGAUGGAUUCCCCGAUCGAGAGCGCUGAGGAUCUCGCCAAGCAGACGAAGAUCAAGUACGGUGCUCUCAAAGGCGGCAGCACGGCAGCCUUCUUCAGGGAUUCCAAUUUCUCGACGUACCAACGCAUGUGGUCCUUCAUGGAUUCAGCGAAGCCGACGGUAUUUACGGCGAGCAACGUCGAGGGCGUGGAUCGAGUGAUCAAGGGGAAAGGCAGUUACGCAUUCCUGAUGGAAUCCACUUCCAUCGAAUACGUAAUCGAGAGGAACUGCGACCUCACUCAAGUCGGCGGUCUCUUGGACUCCAAGGGAUACGGCAUAGCCAUGCCGCCAAACUCGCCGUACAGAACGGCCAUAAGCGGGGCCAUACUGAAGCUCCAGGAGGAAGGGAAGCUUCACAUGCUGAAGACGCGCUGGUGGAAGGAGAAGCGAGGCGGCGGGUCUUGCAGGGACGACACGUCGAAGAGCAGCUCGGCGGCGAACGAGCUCGGCCUGGCGAACGUCGGCGGCGUCUUCGUGGUGCUCAUGGGCGGAAUGGGCGUCGCCUGCGUGAUCGCGGUCUGCGAGUUCGUGUGGAAGAGCCGGAAGGUCGCAAUCGAGGAACGGAAGCAGAAAUCUUCGGGGAAACCGAUCUGCGAAGGUUUUACUGAUCUGCACUAGCGACGGUACGCGCUGCGCUACGAAAACAGAUUCUUAAACUCAAGCCGUACCUCAAUGCGUAUCCGAUCCGAGUUCAGUGGACCUAAGGAAGAACUCCAUCACGAGUGACCGAACACUGUGUAAAGAGAUCGUAAAAUUAUAGGGACAAACAAACUAAUCGGACACAGGAGAAGCAACGAGCCUUGACCUUUCCAAUUUCCCCCCCGAGAUCUUCUAAAGUGCACCGGCAGUCAGGCUCGACGAAACGGCUCAAGAAUUGUAAAAUUCCUCCUCGUCGAGCGUCGGUGCUUGACACAGAAAUACAAAGUGUUCGAUAUUCUGAGGAACGCGUCGAUCAGCUAUCGUUAUCGGAGUUAAACAGCUUCGCUCUUUUCUCUCUUAUUAUUGAGGAAUAAAUUAUUGAAAUCCAAUGAAAACGAAGCGGCGCUCGAAUUCUUGGAACAAUCGAUGAAUGAAUUACAGCGCGCGUGUAACAAAUCCGAAUCGAAAAGGCGGGAUUACAAGAAAAGCAAAAGAUUGGAAAGGUCAACGUGUUUGCCAUUUGCUCAUAUCAAAACUUAGAUUAAUGAACGAAGACUUUAAAGCCUCGCAAUAGGAAAGGGUCAGGUCCCCCGAUUCCUCGCGAAGUCGCAAACGUCUCGAUCGAAAUACCAAGUACACGCCGCGGUGUUUACAAUCGAAUUAUAGUGCGGUACGACACGAACCUUUAAGAACAAUCACGAUUUUAUACCGGCUAGAUAGUGAAUGUAUAGUGUGCCAGGUUAAAAGAAAGAAGAACAAAAACAACGUUUUACUGUAAAUAAUGUGUAGCUGUCAAGCCAAAUGCGAUCGUAUGUGUGCGCGAAAUCCGUUCGCUUCUCGAGACGACGAUGGCUUUAUAAUCGAUAAUCGAAGGAGCAAAUGGAUUCGUUCGAGAAUUGCCACAGUUUCUCCAUUUUUUCACGUAUUUGCCGUUAACUUAAGUCGCGGUAUGAUUUUUUUAAAACAAAAAUUAACUCGCGCACGACAAAGGUGUGCGCGAUGUUGAAUCGUGUAGGAUGACAAACACACACACGUACACGUUCGAGCAUCAUCUUUGUAUCCAUAUGCUCCCUUCGUCAUAAUGUAAAGUACUUCCGAUCCAUACGAAGAAGCACGCGAAAAGUUAUCGAAUAGACGGAUGUCUGUGUCGCGGCAAAUCAAUUGUACGAAUGUUGCGUUUUUAAAAUGUUGCAAUUAUCCGUAGCUGUGUGAGUUAAAAGGACGCGCGUUGUGUGACAGUUUAGUAUGACAUUGUUAGUUGUGUCGCAAUGUUUCUUGCUUCUCUCCUGUCAUGGAUUCAUAGGAGAAGUCCGUGUGCACGGAAAUGGCGAGCGAAUUGCGAUACGCUAUGGACUGCGGCGACGGGAAUAAAAAGCCGUCGAGGAAGGCGCUUUGUCGAUGUCAGAGGCAACAUUCGAGCCUGUCGAUCGUCUCGGUGGAGGGCAAAUACGCGGCGUGCAACAAGUACAGGUACUUCGUUGGGAAAGCACCUUUGACAUGAACAAAGAGGCCAAGCGAGAAGGCCGAAUGAUGAAUUCCCUUACAUAGUUAAUUGCGGCGCGAUUUCACUUGCGAAUCGAGAUGCGUCAGAUCGGUCAGUUUUAAGUAUACGCGCGAAGAUCGCAAGAAGGCAGGUAGCCGCGCAAGGUUCAUUGCCCAAUGCGAGAUUGCUCCUAAAUGCGACAAACGAACGACCGGGUUCUUGCGGAGUUCUUACGGCGAAGCCGAGCUCUCCUUCCUUCUUUCGCCUUCGAGAUCGGGCGCAAUUCGACGCUGCAUUAUAUCCGCUAAAAGACGACGACGCUGCGGAAAGGCCUUAUAGCGACGCAAAGAGGCUUCUGUAAAUUCGUUCCAAGAUGGGAAUCCCGACAGUCGGUGUGUAAACGAGAAAAAAACGGAACUCCCUGUAGCUGUAUGUAUACAGGUCUGUUCUUUUUUAUCAAUCACCGUCGAAUAAGAUAGUCCAUCAUCUAGCUCUUCGUAAGAUCCUGACGUCGUCUACAUGUUAUAAAGUGCGAUGCGAAGCGAAUGCGUGCGAAAACGAGCGAGUACACGGGAGAGUCGCGCGGAAUUUAGGUGGCCUUUAGAAUGACAUUAGAGGGUGUACUGUCGAUGCAUCCCAUAAUCAAGGCAUUCUAUUCCAACUCCAACCGGAUAUUAGUCGUUGACGUACGUCUCCGCGUGACGAUCGGACGAAUUUGACUCAUGUAUAGAUAACGGAGAACAAUCUCGCACACUUCAUCUUGAACCCUUCGGUCCCCGAGACGCGAGGCUGCGAGCGAUCUUUUGCGCUGUUUUAUCAUGACUCGACCGUUUCCUGUAUAAUUGCGCACGAUAGAUAGUCGAUAUAUUUUAGCAUACUUUACUUCAACUCAUUCCUUAACCCUUAGCUGGUAUGACGGGGUCCAUGAGAUCAAUGAGCUAUUAUUUGGGCAAACUAGUCGAGCGUGUUGUGAUUAUUCGUCAACUGUUGCAAUUACCUAAACUAGUUAGAUAGAAUAUUUUUCAAACCGCGUUCGAGACGCAUCGUCAAUGUUCGCCGUCGAAUGCGCAGGAUCGAGAUCUCAGGCCGGCAACGGCUGAGUUUGUUCGCAAUCGCCGCUAAUUAAUCACGGAUCCUUUUAUUCAUCCGAUCGACGUUUCCGCGCCACAUUUGAUCGCGUUUACGCAGGCCUUGUUGAUCGAGCAGCAUUAUUCUUUUCAUAAGUCUUCCUCUUCCUGUGUCGCGCAAAGCAGGAAAGAAAACGGCGAGCACCCCGAGUCCAGCAUCGGAAGACCCGAGAAACUCUCUCUCUCUCUCUCGGGGAAGAGUGUCGCGGCGAGUCAGCACGCGCGAAUGUUCGACGCCGCGUUGAGGAGUACGUGACGUUUCGGUAGCUCGCGCGGGCGCUAUUUUAAGACCGAGCGUAAAAGCGAGGACACACGGAGGUAAAUCGUUUUAUUUCCUUCCCCUCUACUCGCACACUUCCCAUUCGGAUUGUUCCCCUCUUUCUCCUUCCGCCUCCUUCUCUUCCCCUCGCCGUACGAUUUAUCGAGUGCCGAAUGCGGUCAUAGACGUACGUACAAACGCGCGAUACAUCAUAUUCACACGUGAGCGAGCGCGCACACGCACACACGCACACACACACACACACAUCCAUGACACAUAUACCGAUACUCACUGUAAAUAUCGUCGAUACUACAUACUUGUUAUCUUGCGCGCACACACGUCACGACACACGGAGUUUGUUAAGAGAAAGAAGCCUACCGAUUCUACUUCUUAUAUAAAAUGUACUACGAGCAUCAUAUUAAACGUGAAUAAAUUAAUCGUCUGUAAAUUCUCACUCGAA